rnacentral:rRNA from 1 species
UACGGAGGGGGCGAGCGUUGUUCGGAAUCAUUGGGCGUAAAGGGCGCGUAGGCGGCCGUCCAAGUCGGGUGUGAAAUCCCUCGGCUCAACCGAGGAACUGCACUCGAUACUGGUCGGCUAGAGUCCGGGAGGGGAUGGUGGAAUUCCCAGUGUAGCGGUGAAAUGCGUAGAUAUUGGGAAGAACACCGGUGGCGAAGGCGGCCAUCUGGACCGGUACUGACGCUGAGGCGCGAAAGCCAGGGGAGCGAAUGGG